CUCCUGUUGUAAUUCCGACUCCUGGUCCGUCCCCUGCAUGGGACCUUCAGGCUUGUAUCACAAUGUGCUGGUGACACCUACUCAGUGACCCACUGCGAUCUUUUGGGGAAGGUAUAAGCCCCUUGGUUGUGUUUUGUUUCAACUCCAGCUGCCACCCGAAGCCAUCUCUCCUCCCCAGGUCACCUUUCUACAGUCAACACACAGAAUCCCUGACGCAGCCAACAGAAAUGCCCUCCUUAAUGUGGUUGACCCAAGCUCCUUUGCUGUGUUUUGUACAAGUUUUAUAUAUCGCCUCAAGAAAAGUCAACUACUGCUGAAAUGAGCAACAUGAAGCUUUGCUGAAACCAGGAAUGACUUGGGACAUUCUGGAGAAGGAGAAAAAUUCCUCUGUAAACUGACUGAGACCAAACUGGUGCCUGAUACCAUCAAAUCAUCCAGCACAGGACAAACCUUACCACUUCAAAUGAUUCUUGAAUGUAGUUAUAAGAUUUAAAAUGUAUGGGCCCAUAUGUAAGUGUAGUUACCACCUCUCAUCAAAAUUUUCUCUUUAUGGCAAACAGAAACUCAUUCAGAAAAACCACAGCUGUAUACAAUGCAGAGAUCUCAGAAACCCUAGCCCAGUGGAUACAUCUACAUCACAGCUCCUAUAUCUGCUCUGGGAACAUCCUUGAAGAAGCAGUGGGAAGACUGUAAAAGCCAGAGCACCAGGAACUCUGCUGUAAGCCUGUCUCUUCUAGAAAUGGCUGUUUAAACGAGACCAUGACAAUGACAAUAUCAAUAGAUAUGAUAAUAUGGAAGGGGGAAAUUCCCUAGACAAAAAAUAUAGGCUACUGCUGAGGGAGAAUUAGCCUUUCCCAGGGAUAAGACCCCCUAACAGGCUACCUAACACAAAGUGGUCAGUUCUGAAACCACAUACAUGUAGAAAACAAAAAUGGACUCAAAUACACACAUGCACACACACACAUAUACAUAUGUACACACACACA